rnacentral:rRNA from 1 species
AACGAACGCUGGCGGCAGGCCUAACACAUGCAAGUCGAACGCCCGUAGCAAUACGGGAGUGGCAGACGGGUGAGUAACGCGUGGGAACGUGCCCUUCGGUUCGGAAUAACUCAGGGAAACUUGAGCUAAUACCGGAUACGUCCGUAAGGAGAAAGAUUUAUCGCCGAAGGAUCGGCCCGCGUCGGAUUAGCUAGUUGGUGAGGUAACGGCCCACCAAGGCGACGAUCCGUAGCUGGUCUGAGAGGANGAUCAGCCACACUGGGACUGAGACACGGCCCAGACUCCUACGGGAGGCAGCAGUGGGGAAUAUUGGACAAUGGGCGAAAGCCUGAUCCAGCCAUGCCGCGUGAGUGAAGAAGGCCUUAGGGUUGUAAAGCUCUUUCAGCGGGAAGAUAAUGACGGUACCCGCAGAAGAAGCCCCGGCUAACUUCGUGCCAGCAGCCGCCGUAAG